AUGGAGAGCCAUCCCCGUGGUGGGUGGCAGGCCCUGCCCUGGCUCCACUUCUGCCUGGGGGCCAAGGACGCUGGGUGGGUCUCUGGAUUUUCUUUUCAUGCCUUGGCCAGAACGCACAUUGGUGGCAGAAACUGUCCCAAGCCGAGCUUGCAGCCCCGCCCCUGCCCCCCCCCCCCCCACCACCAGCUGCAGGCCCUCGGGGCGGCUGCAGCUACGUGGGCUCCGGGACGGACAGCAAGCCGGGGUGUCUGCUCCGUGCCAGGCCCCACUGCGGGUUCUGACCAGCUGCGUUCACGAUCGAUGGGGUCAGAGCAGGUCCCGGGGCGCCUCGGGGGCCCUGAACCCACCCAACCAGCCCUGCCAGGUGCGGCUAAACCUGGGGCUCCUGCGCUGAGCACCCCGGCUCCCAGCACCCCAGCUCCCAGCCCCCCGGCUCCCAGUCCCCUGGCUCCCAGCACCCCAGUCCCCCGCCUCCCAGCACCCCGCCUCCCAGCCUCCCGGCUCCCAGCUCCCCGGCUCCCAGCUCCCCGGCUCCCCGGCUCCAGGAGCAGCGCUGGGCCGUGGCAAGGGCAGCCCGCAGUUACACCUGCAGGGGAGGAGGAGACACCCCGGCCUGUCCACCCCCAGCGUGAGGUCCGGGCCGAGGGUGCGGCGGGGUCUGGCUGCGGGGCAGCUGUGGCCUUGCAGGGACAGUGUCAGCCGUGGGGACCGCCGCCGGACACCUCUCGAUCGCGGCCUCGGGACAGCAAGGUGGCUGCCGAUGUCUGGGCUGGAUGGCAAGGCGCCGGCCCGGCCCGGCCCCGGGCUGCCCGCUGGGGGGACGGCGACAACGGCACAGGCGGGGACGGGCGCAUCCAGGGGCGCAGGUGGGGCAGCUGCCGAUGCCGCCCUCCACGCUGCAGAGGUGCUACUGCCCAAGCGUUUCCCAGUCUGAAGUCACAGGACUGCGCUGAGCCCCCGACACUCCUCGAAGAGUCCCCAGAUCACACUGUCACCCGCCUGGCCGAGGAGCCCCUUGUUCUGUGUAACCCCCGACUCACAGUAACGUCCAGGACUUCCUGGGGGCGGCUCGGCGCGACAGCAAGCCACUACCUCCUGUGCCGCCCCAGGUGGGGGACCCGGGCUCAGGCCUUGGCUCCCGGCGCCGCGGUGCCCAGUGCCAGCCCGUGUGGCUCCUUCCUUCUCUCCCCAGCGCCGACCGCGCCCCCAUCGCGACACCCGCCCUCGGUCAACGCGCACUGAAGGUCCCGCAGCAUCCGGCCUCCCUUCCCGUCAGCCUGGUAACCACACGAUGAGCGAGCGGGUCUCAAUCCUGUUUUCAGAUGGAGGAACCUGGGCUCGGCGCAGGCACCCAGCGCUGCCUCCCAGCUUCUCCAGACACACGCACGUUCUUUGUCUUCUCUUCUGCUCGUCCCCGCACGCCUUCCAGGCCGCGAUCUAGGACACCUGCAGGGAUGGAGAACUCACUACGUCCUGGGGACACUGUCCCUGUGCUCCUUGCAGAAAGCUGAGGCCUUCCUAAAGGUCCCACCUGAUCCGAAUUCCAAUGUUUGAGGCCAAAAAAACAAAUCUGUGCCCUCUGACCUCAUGGCACCCCCCCCCAAAUGUUUGACGCGGGCUCUCGUUCCCCACAUGGCUUUUUUUCUCUAGGCUGACCUGCCUCCCGUGCCUCUAGCCUCCCUGGGGGGACAUGAAUCCGCAUUACUGUCCUGUGCCCUUCAGAAAGAGUCCCGGGAUGCGCCAUAUGGCAAAAGACUUGGGAUCUCUCAGGCAAUCGGCUUUGUUUAAAAGUAUUAUAUAUCUUUUUUGUGUUUUGUUUUUUUUUUUAAAGAGAGUCUCUAAAGCAAAAAGUAAAAUUUCUCCCCACCCAUCCUCUUCCAAACCCAGCACCACUGCCCAGAGGACGCCUCUGUUGGAAGCUUCCAUUUCAUUUCUUAUGACAGUUUCUGUUGUAAAAUUUGAAAACACAACUAGACCUUGAUUUGUUGGCUUAUCCUUAGAUGUCGUCUGCUGAGGGCCCUGCAUGGAGGGUUGGGAAUGCCGCACCCCAAUGCUCUCCUCUCUCCUCCCACACACUUUGACCUCAAACUUUGGUUAGUUAUAUUAGUUUUUAAAGUUGUUUUAGCAGUUCCUGUUAUAUUACUAUAAAUAAUGUGCCUAAGGAGCUGUCUCAUCCAUGAACUCCCCCCAUCAACAUGCAGGAGAGUAGUGAACCUCUUCCUUCUACUUCUCUCUUAUGAACUCUCAAUUUAAUAAUAUAUAUAUAUAUAUAUAUUGACAAUUGCAAGGUUUAUAACAUUUGCACUGUGUUCUGUAGCCAUCAGUAAGCUUCCACAUUUUGUCCAUAAAGUAAUUCUAAAAGUUAAAAGCCAAUAGACAGCAUCAUUGUGACUCUAUGAACACUAUUCCCUGCAGAUCCAAAGAAUAUGGCUGGAUCCACAGGGAAGAGGAAAUGUAAUUCACCGCCUUGAUACCUCUGACAUUUGAAGGAGGGUUUGCUACGGAGCAGAGUCUAGUGGAGACUCAGUUCCCUAUCGGCUCUCCUCACUUCUUCUGGGUCCAUUCCACGUGCACUUUAUUUUUCCUUUUUUUUUUUUUUUUUUUUGUCUCUCAUGCCAUCCUCUUUUAAAAUUCUUUUUUUAAGAAUUUUUUUUAAUUUUAAAAAAUUUUUUUGCUAGAGUGAUCUUCAUUUCCUGUGUAUGAUUGGUAACUGGUAAAGAUAACCACAUCUCAAUCCCUGGAACCUGUGAAUGUUAUCUUACGCAGCAAAACAGGGGUCUUUGCAGAUGUAAUUACGUCAAGGAUUUUGAGAUGGGGGUAAUAAUUGCUCUAAAUGCAAUCAUAGGGGGCCUUCUAAGACAUGAGCAGAUGGAGAUUUCUCACACGGACACAGAGCAGGAGAUGUGAAAAUGGAGCAGAGAGGGAUUCUCAGCCACACACCAAGGAAUGCCAGUUACCACCAGAGGCUUGAAGAGGCAAGGAUGGCUUCUCCCCUAGAGCCUCCGGAGGGAGUGCAGUCCUGCCAACAUCUUGAUUUCAGCCCAAUGAUACAGAUUUCAAAAUUCUUCCUCCAUAACAGUGAGAGAAUAAAUGUCCCUGCUGUUAAGCCCCCAAGCUUGUGGUAAUUUGUUGCGGCAGCCGCAGGAAGCUAAUAGAGUAACAUUUUAAUUGCUUCUAUCCCUGAAAAUGACCGUUUUGGGUAUGCCCUCUUGUUGACAGUUUGGCAAGGUAUAAAAUCCUAUAUUCUUUACUAAAAGCCAUUUUCCCUUAGAAUUUUGAGGACACCCGACCAUGGGCUUCUAGCAUCCAGGAUACCUGCUGAGGAGAAAUCUCACAUCAGUCUGAAUCUUGUUAUUUUCAAAGUACCAAUUUUUCCUUGCUCUACAAGCAUUUGUGCAUUUUCUCUGGGUCCUCAGAGUUCUGUCAUUACAUAAGAAUGUGUCUGAAUGUUGCUCUUUAUUUCAUAAAUCCUUCUUGACAUUCUGUGGCCUGUUUCAACCUGAUGACUCCUGCUUUCUUCAGCUGAGGAAACGCUUCCUUAAUUUUUUAAAGUGUCCAUUUUCUGUUAGAACUCCUAUUGGACAGAUUAUGGUCUGUCCUCCCUGUCUCUUGACUUUUCUCUGCUAUUUAAUCUCUUUGUACUUCCGCUCUAUAUUCUGGUGAUUUCCUUUCCAAGUCACCAAUUUGGUUCUCAGUCUUGUCCAUUAUAUUAUUCAGCUAUCCCACCAGAUUUUUAAAUUUCAUCAGUCAUGCUUUGAAUUACUAAAAUAUCUUUGUUCUAAUUUUCAGAUAACUUUUCACGUCUGGGAAUCGAGUCUACUCUUGUUAUCCUCUUGAUAUCUCUGAAGACACUAAUUAUAAUUUUUAAAAAAUAUUCUUACUGGUUUCUGGAAUUAUGUUUGAUUCUUCCAAGGCUAGCUGCGCUUUUUAAUGACUUUAGUGCCUCUCAGUGUCAAGAGGAAGUAGGCAGAAGGGUGUGUGUUUAGAAAACACAUUGACUCUCAAGACGGAGGGGCCUGCAUAUUUUGGAAACUGUACGUACCCUACAGAUUGAAACAGCUCCAAAGAUGAUACUAUUGUAAGUCAUAUCCUACCCCACACCUCUACACCAUCUCCAUGCCCACACUCUGAAUGAGAACCACAGGGCCAGGUCAGCAAUUCUCAAUCCUGGUGGAAGAUCAGAACAAACUAGAGAGCUUCUAAAAACCACCUGGGCCUGGGAGCCCCAGAUAAAGCUUGUGUGCUUCUGAGGUUGUAAAUCACUAGAACAGAGGUGACCUAUCUCUAAGGUCUUGCUUUUGCAACUGUGGCCCAAGAACCAGCAGUAUCUGCACCACCUGGGAACUUGUUAGACAUGGAGACUCUUGGGACUCACCCCAGAUGUUCUGAAUCAGAAUCUUUAUUUAAAUAAGCCCCUUGGGCAGCCGCAGUAGCUCAGUGGUUUAGCACUGCCUUCAGCCCGGGGCGUGAUCCUGGAGACCCGGGAUCGAGUCCUACAUCGGUCUCCCUGCACGGAGCCUGCUUCUCCUUCUGCCUGUGUCCCUGCCUUUCUCUUUCCCUCUCUGUGUCUCUCCUGAAUAAAUAAAUAAAAUCUUUAAAAAAAAUGCAAACAAGAGCCUCAGUGAUUGGUAAGUACAUUAAAAUUUGAGGAACACUUCUUUACUUUAUGGGGGGAUCAUAAGACAGUGUGGCAUAUUUGGGUGUGACCUCUAGAGUCCAACAGAUCUGAACUUGAAGCCCAACUCUGUCUCUUAACUAACUCAUGAGCACACUAAAGCUGGAGAAAUGUGGCUAUAGAGCACUCAGCACAGUGUCUGGCCAGUGGUAGAAUUUCAAUAAAUGGUCUCUCUUUCUCAUUUACUUCUUCAAAGGUUCUUUUCCAGGUCUGUGACUCUUGGGCAGGCGUGCUUCUCCCGUACCUCCAUUCCUCUCCUGUCUGUAAAGCAACUGAUUAAUCACACUCUUUGGUCUUUCCCCCUCCAGUACUGUCAGAGCUGUACCAUCAAGUCACUCUUCUAGCACUGCCUUACAUGAUGGCUUCUGGUCUCACUUGUAAAAUUUAACAGCAAAAUGCUUUUGAUAUGCAGCUUCUUUGAAGUUGACCCAAUCUGUAUCCCGGAGAUAAAAAGCUGUUCUGCAUCAUAGCUUUUUCUCAUAUGAACUUUAAGUGUCAGUAGAAAAGACAGCUGUGCACUCUGCUCUGCUGGUUUCAUUUUCCCUGGCUCCAUUUGGAGUUCCCUGGAGAAGCAUGGGGAAUCGAUUUUGUGUCAGGAGAUGAUGACACCAUCCUGCAGCUGUGAUUCAUGUUGAGGACAUCUUUGAUUCAUCACUAACUCCUCUUAUGGAUCUCACAGUGAACUUCCUCCAGGGCUUCCUAAUUUGUCCUCACCACCCCCCACCCCCCAAAGCUG
rnacentral:lncRNA from 1 species